rnacentral:rRNA from 1 species
GACGAACGCUGGCGGCGUGCUUAACACAUGCAAGUCGAACGGAAAGGCCCUGCUUUUGUGGGUUGCUCGAGUGGCGAACGGGUGAGUAACACGUGAGUAACCUGCCCUUGACUUUGGGAUAACUUCAGGAAACUGGGGCUAAUACCGGAUAUGAUCUCCUGCUGCAUGUUGGGGGUUGGAAAGUUUCGGCGGUUGGGGAUGUACUCGCGGCUUAUCAGCUUGUUGGUGGGGUAGUGGCUUACCAAGGCUUUGACGGGUAGCCGGCCUGAGAGGGUGACCGGCGACAUGGGGACUGAGAUACGGACCAGAAUCCAACGGGAGGCAGCAGGGGGGAAUAUUGCACAAUGGGGGGAAGCCUGAUGCAGAAACGCCGCGUGCGGGAAGACGGCCUUCGGGUUGUAAACCGCUUUCGAAUGUGACGAAGAGGGAGUGACGGUAAUGGGUAAAGAAGCAACGGCUAACUACGUG